CUUUGUCUCGUUACCCGUAUGUUCUCCAGUUAACCUCUGUCGCCGGAGUCAUGCGUCAAAUUCUUUAACGCAAAUCCCAGUGGCUCUUUUCGUGAUUUAUUCGUUGUUUAGAAGCGGCCUGCACCGGUGGCUGGAAAGAAAACAAGAGAGCCUUCCCCAGGGUGGGUUUAUUUUGUGCGAUUUGGAACUGAAUCAGAGAUUGUCGAGGCAAUCGCGGAAGAAGCCAGGAGAUGUCCUACUACUCGUCGUCUCGUAGUUCGUCCCGGGCCACCGACUGCAAGGUGUACGUGGGUGACCUGGGCAACGGCGCGGCCAAGGGGGAGUUGGAGCGGGCCUUUAGCUACUAUGGCCCAUUGAGGACCGUCUGGGUUGCCAGGAACCCACCAGGUUUUGCCUUUGUUGAGUUUGAGGACCCAAGAGACGCUGAGGAUGCUGUGAAAGGCAUGGACGGAAAGCUACUGUGUGGGUCCCGUGUACGUGUGGAGAUGUCAACGGGCAUGUCCAGGAAGGGACGCGGUCGCCCCAGUCGACGCCAGUUUGACCCGAAUGAUCGCUGCUAUCAGUGCGGUGACCGUGGCCACUAUGCCUACGACUGCUACCGCUUCAGCAAGCGAGGAGGAGGCCGCCGCAGCAGCAGGUCUCGUUCCCGCUCUCGAUCAAGGUCCAGGUCCCGAUCGCGUGGGCGCCGCUACCGAUCGCGUUCUCACUCUCGCAGCCAUAGCCGCAGCCGGAGCCGCCGUCGCUCUCCAUCCUACUCCAGGCGCAGAAGCAGGUCUGGCUCCCCGGCACGGUCCAAGUCUAGGACUCCACUGAGAAGUCGCUCCAGGUCUCGUUCACGGUCCAGGUCUGCACCAAGAGGCCGCUCUGCCUCGCGUUCCCGCUCUCGAUCCCCGUCAGCCAAUCACAAAAGGAACAGUGUGUGCUGGGAGCUGCGCACUGCGCUGACACUACAGCUGAUCCCAGGCCCAGGGUCUGCCAGCUGGCGGUGUGUACGUCCUGCGGGAGGGUGACUUAAGCGCUGACCUGAGAUCAGCCUUCGCCUGGCAUUAGACAGCGAGAACCUCCCCCGGUGCAGUGAUUGGGUGACCGUCUGUCCGACCGACGCACACGCUCAGACGAGAUCAGCCCGCGCACUCUUACCGUUGUUCUCCUAGAGUCACCCAAGGCCGCCAGCCAGACGGCAGAUCUACCAGAGCGCCAACACGAACAAUUCAGAGUUUGACCAUUUAAAUUCCAUUACCUACCUACCAGACCCCCUACUACCUACCUGCCAGAGCUCUGCGGCCUCUGUCUUAGCUUCUGAAAAUGAGAGCAAGCUGACCAGAGAUCAGUCUUCAAGAGCGUAGUCAUCCGUCCUUCAGUGCUUUCAUCCUUCGCUUCUCUGUACUUGUUGUUUCUGCCAGUGUCUCCAAAGUCGUUCCCGCUCAGCAAGUCAUCACCGAAGUCCAACACCAGGCGCCAACUGAAUGAAGAACAAGACCCCACCCCGUCCGCUUUUACAACAGCCCUCCACAUUGUUUUCCAUGUCAGGUUAUGUUUAAUUUCUUUAUUAGGUGAUGUGCAGGUUGAGAGGACAUCCUCCUUAAUCCUUCAUGUCCAUUGCUUGUCGUUGAUUCAACAUGCUAAAUAUUGUUGACUUUUAACCCUGACUCCUUAGUGUAAUAACAUGGUUUGAACUCUUCAUGAAGAUGAUCCUGGCCUGCAUUCCUUUCCUUCAUGAUUUACAUUUUUGUGCCGCACUGCCCUUUUUCUUCCUCUUAAACUCAAGCUAGGUGUGAAAAAUGGAUUUUUUUGGGUUUUUUUUGUCUGUCUUUCAGUUUAUUCCUGUGUAUUGUUAGGUUUUGUGGUAAUUUUGUUAGAUUUUUGGAAGGGCUGCUUAAACAGUUGUUCCUGCUUCUAUUGUUUAAGGUGCAGUGGCUGUUUUAUUUUUAAAUAAAUCUCUCCCAACAUAA